rnacentral:rRNA from 1 species
AUGUAAAUUUUUGUGCGGAUUAUUAUUUAUUUUAAAAAUAAAUAAAUUAUACUAUAAUCUCAGUAAUUAAUUUUAUUAGCCAAGGAAACUUGUAAAUAGUAAUUUCAUUUAGUAUUGGCCAAAUUUGUGCCAGCAGCCGCGGUUAUACAAAUAAUACAAAUAAAACUUUAUUAGUCCAAGUUAAAUUUUAUAAUUAUUAAAAUAUAAUUAAAUUUUUUAGGUGGAAUUUUAAAUUUAUAGAUUUUUAUUUAUUAGAUAUUGAAACUUGAAAAUUUUAUAAAUAAACUAGGAUUAGAUACCCUAUUAUUUAAAAUGUAAUAAUUAACACUAAGGUAGUAAUAGUUAUGUUCUUGAAACUUAAAAAUUUUGGCGGUAUUUUAGUCUAUUCAGAGGAAUCUGUCCUGUAAUCGAUAGUCCACGAUGAACCUUACUUAAAUUUGUAUUUCAGUUUAUAUACCGUCGUUAUUAGAAUAUUUUAUUAGAAUAAUAAUUUUCUUAAAUUUUUAUUAAAAUUUAUAUCAGAUCAAGGUGUAGCUUAUGUUUAAGUAGAGAUGGAUUACAAUAAAUAUAUUUAUAUGAAUCUAAAUUUUAAAUGUUUAGUGAAAGUGGAUUUGAUAGUAAAAUUUAAUAGAUUAUAAUUUUGAUUUUAGCUCUAAAAUAUGCACACAUCGCCCGUCGCUCUUAUUAUUAAGGUAAGAUAAGUCGUAACAUAGUAGAUGUA